CUCUCAUUCACUACUUCCUUCUUCCACCUCUUCUUCUCCAUUCUUCCUUUUUUUUAAAUCAAAUAGAAAUAAGGGACACUCUCCGACAUCAGAUCUGUUUUUUUAUAUUCUUUUGUAAUAACAUUUGGAAAGGACUCUGAGAUACUGGUUCCUCACACCGAAAAGGUUAUUGAUGAAGGCCCUCAACCUAAGAAAGGUUAGUUCUUUCUCUACUAUUCAUGAUUUUGGGAAUAGUUUGGGAAGAUUUGGAUGGAGAUUUGGGAGGAUUGCUUUGGAAGGGUUUAGGGAAGAUUGAGAUGCUGAUGAACACACAUACAAAUUAAUUCAUUUGAUUUUCCGCAGAUCUUCCGCUUGGUUCUGUGAACCCAGAUUUUCCCAAAUUGAUUUGGGGCUAAAGAUCCAUAAUAAUAAUGGAGAUUGAAAUUAUUUUGAACUGGUAGAAGGUUGGUCUGUUUUUCUUCAACAAAAGAGAUUUUGGUUUGAAUUGUUUUUCGAAUUUUUGUUGUAUGUUUUAGUGUUAGUUCCAUGACAAAGAUGUGAUUUUUACUGGGUUUUAUAGUUAUGGUGUUUACUGAUUAGUGAAUAUUUUGAUAAUAUGUAAAAAAGACGAGUGAUGUUUUUCAGUUCUGUGAUAUCAAAAGAAGAUCCAUUUGAUUUUUAACUUCACUCU